CAAAAAAUCGUGGAUUAUGCCUCUCUAGCUGCAACCCUAUUGUAUUGUUGUUUAGUUUCUACGCACUUUUUUGCCUGCUCUUUUUCAACAUGGAGAAACUAAAUCUUCCAGAGAAAUACAAGUAUAAAAUAAUUGAAAUUGGAAUGGAUUAAAGAAUAUGAAUAAAGAUCAGAAACACUUUGGCAUAUUCAGAAAACACACAAAUCAACUGGGUGCUUUAAUGUUUAUAAACGUGACUUUAGAUGUGAGCACAAUGUGCAACAGGUAGUAACUAAUAUUUUAUAUUUUACUGCUUCAAAUGCAUUAUGAGUGUUAUUUUAGACACUUAAUUUUUUAUUAUUUAUAUAAUGACAAGGUUAGUUUUAAAGUUUAUUUAGCAUGUGGCAAGAGACUUAUUUGUAACUGUCUAGCUACAAAUAUAUUUAAUUGUAUCAAAUUCCAUUAUAAUAAAUACUUAUAUGAUACAUGUUUUGCUAAAUUGUUUUACUAAGAGCUUCCAUACUCUGUACCGUAUAUCGACUUAUAUUUUUAAUUAAGUUGUGAUCUAAAAUUCAUUUUGCUUGAAGCUAGAAUGAUAUUUUUGACUGCCUCGUUACAAAGAACUUAGCAAAUAUUGCAUAGUUUAUAUGUAUUUUCUUUGUAUGGAAAUAUCCGUUCUUUUCAAUAUUCUGACCAAUUUGAUAAACAAAAAAAAUCUGGUGUUUUGUGAGGUUUAUAACACACAUUUCAUGAAUAAGAGCAUAUUUUAUGUUAAGAAAAAAAUUUAAAAAUUUCAGUUCUGGCUCUAAUUUAACUUGAAUUUAAAAGCUGUACCUGAUAGGCCAGUUGCACCCAAUGAAGUGUUAAGAAUUGAAAUAAAAUAUUGAUUUUUUUGUAGUUAUAAUAAAUUUAUCAUCUUCAAAUAUAUUUUAAAUAUUGUUAAAAUAAAAAAUAAAGACUUUAGAUUGGUUUAUUAUUAUUUAAAAUUUUUUUAAACAGUACUUCAUAGCUUUAUAAAUAAUAUUUAUUUUCUUCUACUGAAAUUCAUCGACAUUUAGUGCUCUCACUAUUGAUAAUUAUGUAAAAAUUAUUUUUACAGAUAUCAAAACAUGUGAAAGAAAGUAAAAAUAUUGGAUGCCCAGCAGUUCUUAAAAUUACUAUACAAAAGUAUUUUUCACUGCCAAAACACAAAGAUCCACUCCCAGAAGUUAUAGUUUCCUGCAUAAUGUGAGCCUCUGUACUUUCAUAAUCAUUUGCUUGACAAUGCUGCUGUUAAAAAGAUCUGCUGCUGUAAUCAGUUCAGACCAUUAUCAAACCUAAUGUGAAUAGUAAGAUAGAGUUGAUAGUAAUAAUCUGAUAGAGUUGUUUGAAUUAGGACAUACUGCAGCUACUGCAAGACAGAUGUUGCAAAUGGAAUUCAAGCUUCAGAGUAAUGAAGAUUAUGCAGAAGCAUGCAUGGACAGUUCUAAGCUACCUUCAUUAUCUGUCGUAAAUCACUUGCGAGAUAAUGAAUUCAAGAAAAUCUAUGGGUCACGAAGAGAAAGCAAUAUUUUCGGGGAAAUUGAAAAAUAUAUUUCCUCUUGCAAUCAACACCCAUUCUGUAAAGUUGCUUUUUCAAAAUAAAAGAACAGUUUGGCGAUUGCUGUAGUGACGCUGAUAAUGAAGCGAAGUAUACAUUUAUUUAGCAACGUUCAAGAAUUGAUAAUGGUUGAUGCAUCUGGCCACAUGGACAAAUUAAAACAUCGAGUUUAUUUUUUUAUUUCUCCAGGUGUAGCUGGUGGAAUACCUAUUGGGUGCCUCAUCACAAAUGCAGAAGAAACUAAUAUUUUCCAUGAAGGAGUGAAACUUCUUUAUGAGUGUUUCCCUGAGAAAUGUUGUUUAUUGCAAAAUGGACCACUGAUUGUAAUGGCAGAUGAUGAUCUGAAGGAAAGAGAAGUUCUGAGUGAAAUAUGGCUGAAUUCUACUUACUUAUUCUGUCAGUUUCAUGUGCUAAAAGCAGUGUGGCGAUGGCUUAUGAACAGUGAAAAUAAAAUUAUAAAAGAGCAUAGUCAGGAACUGUAUUUUUCCUUUAAAUCAUUGAUGUAUGCAGAAACUGAAAUGCAACUGAAAGAGUUGCUUCAAAAUAUGUUGGAGAAUAGCACUGUCAGGAAAUAUGACUUCAUCAUAUAUUUGAGCAAGUUGUUCUCCAAAAAGUAAUUAUGAUUUACUUGUCAUAGAAAAAUGCUUUUAACCAGGGGAAAUAAUACAACAAAUUAUGUUGAAAAUUUGUUCAAAGUUUUAAAAGAGAUCAUACUUGUCAAAGCGUUUAGCUUAGUUCAAUUAUUGGACUUCAUUGUCACAACAUUUGAGAAGUAUAUACAUAAUAGAUAUUUAGAUUUUAGUUUUGGUCGUUCUAACAAAAAACUAGUAAAAAGGUUAUUGCCUGAUGAUAAAGUAAUAAUUCAGAACAUCAGAUCACUAAAUAAGGAUAACACUUAUUUUGAAACUGGUCGCUAUUUUGUUGAUUUGGAAAGUUCCAUUUGUACUUGCUUUGUUGGCAUGAAUGGAAAGCUUUGCUAGCAUUUAAGUGCUGUGAUUCUGAAACAAAAUAAACAAUCAAUAUUUGUCUCUUCUCUAAAAAGUAGAAAAUUAAUGUAUGAAGUGGCUACUACGAAAAAAUUGGAUUCAAAUAGUACCCUAUUGCUACCUUUAAGUUUUAAUCUAUCACACAAUUUUCCUUUUUCUCAAUCUGAUGAUGCUCUACAACCACAAUUUUCUUCUACAGUACUUCCACAUUCUUCUAACUAUAUACUUUCACAAUUAAACAAUAAUGCACUUCCACAUUCUUCUAACUAUAUACUUUCACAAUUUAACAAUAAUGCACUUCCACAUUCUUCUAACUAUAUACUUUCACAAUUUAACAGUAAUGCACCUCCACAUUCUUCAAAUGACACACUUUCACCUAGAGACAUUGACAAAUUUUCACAGCCUUGCAAUGGUAACAACAUGUUUCUACCAACUAUUAACACUACUUCACAGCCCAUGGCAGUUACAUAUCAAAACUCAGACAAUGAAACAGAUGAUGAUGAUGAUAAUUACUUACAAAAAUUUGAUGAUAUAAUUAAUCGAAUUAAAUCCAGGUAUAAAAAUAAUCCUGAUGUUUUUAAACCAACAAUAAAAAAAAUGGUGAAGAAUGUAAACAAGUUUGGAAAAACAGAAACUGGAUUGGUGUCUGCCUUGCAUAACUUCUGAAGGUACUUUUUUUAAUUUAUUUUUGAAGGCGUGUUAAAUUUACAUUAAAAAAUUCGCAAGAUAGAAAAUAAGAUUUAAUGUGUAACAAUUUAAUGUUUAUA